rnacentral:rRNA from 1 species
UCCUGCUUCCACGCCACUUCAGCCUGCCCAUCUGAUGAGCUCUUGGGCUAAGCAAGGUUGGGCUUGGUCAGCACUUGCAGGGGAGACCUCCAGAGCAUGCCUAGGCGUUUCAGGCA